UUUGAGCACACAAAGAUUCAGGCUAAAAUGUGUAACCCAUCAUCCAAACCCAACACCUCAUCCACACCUGAUUACAUCUUACAUAAACCAUAAAGAACACCAUCUCUUUUCUAAUAUCUCUGUUUUUAGGCAUAAACAUUUAACCAUCAUUUAACCAUAGAGUUCUAUCUUUGCUUUCUCUCACUUCAAAUACUCUAAUUAUACGUAUAUAUGUGUUGAGAUUCUGUUAUAGUUCUGCAAUUCUGCUUUUCAUUGUUUUGAUUUCAUGUUUUUCUUGUUCGAUUUGGUACCCAAAGGGUGGAAUUGGAAUAAUGUGCUCAAUUUAGUCUCGUUUCACGAACAGGUGUGUAUUGAAUUAAUUUAUUUUUGGUUGAAAUUGACUGGAUUUUGAAGGUAAAAUAGAAACGUGCCUAUGAAUUCAUUCCUUUUAAUAUACCUUCCUUAGUUCUUCUCGCAAAAAAAAAAAAAAAAAAAAACCCCUAUAAUAACACAUUGUACAGACUCUCUUCUUUGUCUUAUGUUUGAAAAAAAAAAUUGUGGUGUAAAAAACACAGGAAAAAUCUGUUGUUCAUGCAAUUUAUCGAUGGUAGUCGGCAAGCGAGCGUUCAGAUGGUGUUUAUCGUCGGCAAGCCAGUAGGGGUUGAUUUUCUGGAGAAGACGGUUGAAGAUAUAUCACACCGCUUCAUGUUUUAAAUCUGGAGAAGACGGUUGAAUCACCGCUUCAUGUUUUAAAUUUUAAGGUGGCAGUUACAUAUGUGUACCGAAGCGGCAUAUUUGCGGCAACCAACGAAGUAUCGUAUAUGUAUUUGUUGUUAACCAACGUGUCUCAGUUUGUAUUCGUGGGUAAAACGAAGGGUUAUGUCUUAAUCAAAGUUGUAUUUGUUAAUCAAAGGGUAUGUGUGUUAAACAAAUGUGUAUUUAUUAAUCAAAGGGGUAUGUCUUAAUAAAAGGGAUAUAUGUGUUAAAUAAAUGGCUAUGUCUUUUUGUA